rnacentral:rRNA from 1 species
UACGUAGGGUGCAAGCGUUAAUCGGAAUGACUGGGCGUAAAGGGUGUGUAGGCGGGUCUUUAAGUCAGGGGUGAAAUCCUGGAGCUCAACUCCAGAACUGCCUUUGAUACUGAGGAUCUUGAGUUCGGGAGAGGUGAGUGGAACUGCGAGUGUAGAGGUGAAAUUCGUAGAUAUUCGCAAGAACACCAGUGGCGAAGGCGGCUCACUGGCCCGAUACUGACGCUGAGGCACGAAAGCGUGGGGAGCAAACAGG